rnacentral:misc_RNA from 1 species
GCAAAAUGCUAACUACUUUGGUUACGCUGAAGGCACAGCAACCGGAAUGGCACCAUCAGCCAGGUUAGCUAUGUACAAAGUGGGGUUCUAUAGCAAGGAUAUCCGUGUCAUUGAUGCUGCAGCAACUGAUGUACUUGCUGGAAUGGAUCAAGCAAUUGAAGACGGUGUUGAUAUCAUGUCAUUGUCCUUGGGAUUUAAAGAGACACCAUUCUUUAAGAAUCCAAUAGCCAUAGGAGCAUUUGCAGCCUUGAAGAAAGGGAUAUUUGUUACAUGUUCUGCAGGAAAUUCAGGCCCUCAUGGAUACACCAUGUUCAAUGGAGCUCCUUGGCUCACAACAGUUGGUGCUGGAACUGUUGACCGUGAAUUGGGAGCCCGUGUUACACUUGGAG